AUCCAGCUGACAAGUCCAAAAUAAGAUGAAACGCGUGUCUAAGAU
rnacentral:hammerhead_ribozyme from 1 species